CUAUGACCUAUUGGUUAUGGCGGAAGGAG
rnacentral:ncRNA from 1 species